CGGGAUGUCCUCUUUUUUCGUCACCCGCUAUCUUGAGACGAUUUGGAGUGAUUGUAGUUGAAAUGUCUUAUUUGCCCAUCAACAAUUUCAAAUUUACACGACAUCCUGUUGCAUGUUUACUAUAUUAUAUAGGCUUAAUUACCUUUUUAGUCCCCAAGUUAGGGGCUAAAUUUUCGUUUGAUACCCGCUUUUAAAAGUGAUUUAAUUAGGUCCCCAAGUUAUUGAUUUUGCUUUUAAUAAGUCCAUUUCGUUAAGUAACUUGCAACAGCGUUAACUUCACACUUACGUGGCGAUAUUUUUC
rnacentral:lncRNA from 1 species